CAUGUUUUUGCUUUUAUCAGCCUGGGAGCUAGGUCCCUGGAGACAAGAAUUUUAGAACAGUUAUGACUCUCUCUGGGAGUGUACUAAGGUUAGUCUGAAUCCUUCUGGGGAAUUCAGGUUUGAAGGAGUUAGAAGAGUGCUAACAUCACCGUCACUGUUACCUACCAAUGGAUGCUUCCUGGGUGCAAGACCAAAGAUGUUCUUUGGUGUCUAGUCCCUUGUCUCAUGUCUAAUGUAACCUGCCAUUUUCCUUUACAGGUAGGAGCAACGGUGGGAAUGCCCUCUGAGGAAUGCAGUGAUGUCCAUCAGUCACCUCUCACCCAGAGCCUGGCAAAUUCAGUCUCUUUCACAGAACCUAAAGCCAAGCCAGGUUCAGUGGGAAAUCCCACCUGUCCAAACACUGUGUGAGACACCAGAAUUAGAGGCCUGCAAGCCU
rnacentral:lncRNA from 1 species